rnacentral:lncRNA from 1 species
CUGCAAACACACUUACUAGAUUGUGACUCCACGUCAAUAUAGCCCCCGCUACACCACUCAAGGCCUAGCAACAUGCUGAACUCGUUGCACACUUCAGCCUCCUACGGACGUAUCCUUCACAUGCCGAAGAGAAAGUUUCAAUGCUCCAUGGCACCGAGUUUCGGUCGCCUUGGGAUGGCCACGAACAUUCCAUCGUCCGCAUACAAGCCCAUGCAUGAGUACCAAAUUCUUCGAGCUAGCAAUUC